GCUUCAUCCCUCCAUCUCCAUCACUCUCUCUUUUUUCUCUCUCUUCUUCCUCACACUCUCUUCCUCCUCUGACUUUAUCUUUCUUCCGUCUUCUCCCGUCUUCCUUCUGUUUCUAUUUCUUCCUUCUCUUUUUCAAUCUUUGUGAGUUUCUCUUCUCCAUUCUCUAUUAUAUUCCACAAACCCUAAUCUUGAAUGCUCAUGGUCUUUUAUGUAGGUUGAUGGAGAUUGUUUUCAAGAAGGAUUUGUUUUCAAAAGAAUAACUCUCACUCAUUCAUUUACUCAUUCAUCCAUUUGUUGUGCGUUGUUCUCGGAUCCUUUUUCAAUUUAUGGAGGAUUCGAGUUGUGUAUAUGUCUUUGAAAAAUACUUGCUUUUUGUGCAAACCAUUGUUGUAUUAGAGGUAUUUAAUUGAUAAAGUUUUGAUUUUUAUAUGUUUUGAAGACACUCUUUUGUUUGAUUUAGCUAAAUGGAUACAAAUUUUUGUGUUUUUGAGUACGACUUUGUAUUGGAUCGUGUGCUAGAUUCUUCAUGGUUUAGUGGGGAAAUUAUUAACUUCUUUCUUAAGUGCUUAAUGUAGGUUUGAUCAACUUCUCAUGGAUUUUUCUUUUUUGAAUUGAUGAGGGGCUUUUGUGUUCUCCAAUAACGGCAAUAUAGCCUCAGAUUGGGUCAAAGUUAUUUAUGAAUUCGUUUUGUAAAAUGAAUGCGUUUCGGCAGGUUUAUCAGAUUUCGAGUCUAAUGGUUGGUCUAGAGAUUGAGUUUUCUAUUAAUGUUUUCAAAAGUGAUAGCUGAUAUUUUGUGAACUUCUUUCAAUUUUUAUAUGACUUUUAAUUCCAGUGUGGUUGUGGUCGAAUUCGAAAUGGUUGCUGGCAAUGGGGUAAGUUAUAUUUUGAUUAAUUAUUGUGAAAAUGUUUUGUUUUUUAUGCAUUGAUAAAUGGUUUGAAAUUUGUUUGUGACCACUAAAUGUUUGUGAUUUUUAAUGUGUGAGAAAUGCAGAUAAGUUGAUCGUUUGAUUAGUUGUUCAAAUUUUCAGUUAGUAAGAUGCAAGUAGGAUUAAAAGUCUGUGUUGUUUCUGAUUAUUGAUAAAUGAAUGAAUUUUCUAAAGGGUGUUUAAAUAAGCAUGUGUGAUAAUGUCUUCAAGGUCUUGAUUCUGACCUUAAUCUUCGUGAAUGGGCAUAUAGUGAGGCAAAAGUUAAGUGAAGGAAGAAAGGUAACAAGCCAUCUUCUUGGAAGCAUAACGGAUGCAGUAUAUCAUGAAUAAUCACAUUCAUAUAUGAUAAUCUUUACCAGAGGUCAAUUCAUAAUAAAAAUGAAUAAAUACAAGAGAGAUGUUGGUAGGUCACUAUACCUGAGUCAAAUGAGAUGAAGCAACAAAGAAAGAUAUUAUGCUAAAAUUCUUAUGGGAAAAGUCAAGUAUGGAGAGCUACAAAACAGAAAGAAAAGAUAGUUGCUUCACUUGCUGUUUCCAAAGGGAAAGUUUUUGUUUUACUUUUGAAAAUUUAUGGGGUUAAUAGAUGUAGAAAAUUUAUAUACACUUUUAUAAUGUUUUGUAUUUUGUUGUUGUUCAAAAAUAGAAACAAAUGAUGGUUUCUUUUUUAUUAUAUGUUGUUGGAGUGUGCUGCUAAACUCUUUCAAGUGUACCAUUUGUAUUGAUUUUUUAUCUUUAAAGAUCUUUUUUGACAACUUGAUGCACACUAUAUAUACAUAUUUAAAAC